CUAACAUAAGUUGGAAUUUGUUUCUUCCAGGCCAGAAACAUCAAGAGAAUUCUUAAUCCAGCUGGUGAAAAAAAAAAUGAAGCAUUAGAAGUAAUAGCCCGGAUCUGGAAUCCAGAACUGGAAGCUGCAAGAUGAUGGAUGAUGUUCCCUCUUCAGGAUAGUUUUAAACCUAUAUGUUGCCAUAGCUGUUGCUUUGGCGGCGCCUUCCUCCCACCUAGCCAGUAACUCCCCCUUCUUCGAAUUCCAGCUCCUGAAACGCACGCAUCCUUACAACUAUCCUGAUUAUUCACAGCAGACCACUUCCCUUCAUGUAAUUGUCGCAGAAGCUGAGUCAUUUGUUCUAUAGAACGUCCACGUUCUGCAUUCAACCAUUGGUUUCCUUGUUCAGUCAUUGGAGUUGGUCUUCUACCUACUGUAUUUCCUGUAUAUGGAGGUUAGUUAUAGAUAAUUAAUUAGGUUUAGCCUCAUAAUUUUUGGCAAGAAUAUUUUAUAAAUGGCUCUGUUUGCUUUCUAUUGCCUACAUUGGAGGGCUCACAACAUCUGGUCAUCUGACCAUUGCUAAGAAUCAUUAUGGAUUCAAAGUAAUCUUUAAAAAUAUAC
rnacentral:lncRNA from 12 species